rnacentral:rRNA from 1 species
AACAAACGCUGGCGGCGUGCCUAAUACAUGCAAGUCGAACGGGGAAAGCUUUCGGGUGAGUACUAGUGGCGAACGGGUGAGUCACGCGUGGAUAAUCUGCCUUGAAGAGGGGGAUAACCAGUCGAAAGAUGGGCUAAUACCGCAUAAUCCCACAGGAACUGAGGUUCUAGAGGUCAAAGGUUUUUGGCUUCAAGAUGAGUCCGCGUAAGAUUAGCUAGUUGGUGAGGUAACGGCUAACCAAGGCGACGAUCUUUAACUGGUCUGAGAGGAUGAUCAGUCACACUGGAACUGAGACACGGUCCAGACUCCUACGGGAGGCAGCAGUAGGGAAUAUUGCACAAUGGAGGAAACUCUGAUGCAGCGACGCCGCGUGAGUGAUGAAGGCCUUCGGGUCGUAAAGCUCUGUCGCAGGGGAAUAACACAAUGAAGGUACCCUGUAAGAAAGGAUCGGCUAACUUCGUGCCAGCAGCCGCAGUAACAC